rnacentral:sRNA from 1 species
UCUUAACCCAGAUAGUAACGGUAACCCCGCAGUAGCGAAGAAAAAAGCGGUGGCACGAGGAGUAUGAGUGGAUAGCUGUAAAAGCU